rnacentral:rRNA from 1 species
GACGAACCGUGCGAACGUUAUUCGGAAUCACUGGGCUUAAAGCGCGUGUAGGCGGAGCGGCACGUCGGUCGCUGAAAGCCCCCGGCUCAACCGGGGAACCGGCGCCGAAACGACCGGUCUGGAGGGACGUAGGGGGACCUGGAACUUCCGGUGGAGCGGUGAAAUGCGUUGAGAUCGGAAGGAACGCCCGUGGCGAAAGCGAGGUCCUGGACGUCUGCUGACGCUGAGACGCGAAAGCCAGGGGAGCAAACGGG